UACAGAGGGGGCAAGCGUUGUUCGGAAUUACUGGGCGUAAAGGGCGCGUAGGCGGCCUGUUAAGUCGAACGUGAAAUCCCCGGGCUCAACCCGGUGAACUGCGUCCGAUACUGGCAGGCUUGAAUCCGGGAGAGGGAUGCGGAAUUCCAGGUGUAGCGGUGAAAUGCGUAGAUAUCUGGAGGAACACCGGUGGCGAAGGCGGCAUCCUGGACCGGCAUUGACGCUGAGGCGCGAAAGCCAGGGGAGCAAACGGG
rnacentral:rRNA from 1 species